rnacentral:misc_RNA from 1 species
AGUUCGCAUUCGCGAGCGUAGAUACGCGAGUGAUAGUGGCAAGACGGAAGGACUCGCGUGGCUGGCGUGCCGAGUGACAUUGACAGUGCCCGUAUUACUCGCCCACAUGCCGGAGCCUGUCACGUACGCUGUACGAGCUGUGAUUAUUCGUGAAAUAAGCGGGUUGGUCGGAAAGUUAAAAAACAAAUACACAACAACAAUUUUCUCAAAUACAAGAAAAAAAACUAUGAUCAUUAUUAAUUCAACUAAUGAACUACAAGAUAAUUUUGGAAUAUGAAGAGGGCAUUAAGUUUAACUAUCAUCGUGUUGUGCAUAUUAAAGAAGAAUUAACAUUCAAAAAUGGUUUGAAGUUUAAUUUUGUUAUAAAAAUGAAUCAGUAGAUGUAUGCCUUUAUGCC